AGGAUGAACGCUGGCGGCGUGCUUAACACAUGCAAGUCGAACGGUCACUUCGGUGACAGUGGCGCACGGGUGAGUAACACGUAGCUAACCUGCCCUCGAGUUCGGAAUAACGUCCCGAAAGGGAUGCUAAUACCGGAUAAGCUCCCGAUGAGUAAGUAAUCGGGAAGAAAAGGAGCAAUCCGCUUGAAGAGGGGCUGCGACCCAUCAGGUAGUUGGUGUAGGUAAAAGCGACACCAAGCCGACGACGGGUAGGGGCCUGAGAGGGUCGUCCCCGACGACGUGGACUGAGACGACGGCCCAGACUCCGUACGGGAGCAGCAGUGAGGAAUAGUGACACAAGUGGGACAAAGCCUGAUGCAGCGACGCGCGUGGUGA
rnacentral:rRNA from 1 species